rnacentral:rRNA from 1 species
GUGAGGAAUAUUGCGCAAUGGGGGAAACCCUGACGCAGCAACGCCGCGUGGGUGAAGAAGGCUUUCGGGUUGUAAAGCCCUGUCAGGCGGGAAGAAACCUCUGUAGUCGAAUAGGCUGCAGAACUGACGGUACCGCCAAAGGAAGCACCGGCUAACUCCGUGCCAGCAGCCGCGGUAAGACGGAGGGUGCAAGCGUUGUUCGGAAUCACUGGGCGUAAAGCGCGUGUAGGCGGUCUGAUAAGUCGAGUGUGAAAGCCCGAGGCUCAACCUCGGAAGUGCAUUCGAAACUGUCAGGCUUGAGUACGGGAGAGGGAAGUGGAAUUCCUGGUGUAGAGGUGAAAUUCGUAGAUAUCAGGAGGAACACCGGUGGCGAAGGCGGCUUCCUGGACCGAUACUGACGCUGAGACGCGAAAGCGUGGGGAGCAAACAGGAUUAGAAACCCGGGUAGUCC